rnacentral:rRNA from 1 species
CAGUCGCCACGGUAAUACGAAGGGUGCAAGCGUUAUUCGGAUUGAUUGGGUGUAAAGGGUGUGCAGACGGCUUAUUAAGUCACUCGUUAAAUUCUUCGGCCUAACUGAAGGUCUGCAAGUGAUACUGAUGAGCUAGAGGGUGGAAGAGAGAAGUGGAAUUCUCGGAGUAGCGGUAAAAUGCGUAGAUCUCGAGAGGAACACCAAUGGCGAAGGCAGCUUCUUGGUCCAUUCCUGACGUUCAUACACGAAAGCGUGGGGAGCAAACAGGAUUAGAUACCCCCGUAGUCCCUGUCUCUUAUAC